GCCACAUAAACUAAAUGUCUCCCUUGGACAUAGUGAAGCUGACUUGAUAUAAUCACCAUUUAAGUGCUGAUAACCAGAAGAUAAGAAAAAGAGCGCAGGCAGAAUAUUUUCAGGACACCGUGUGGAGAGCUGAUACAGCAAAUGCUACUUUAUAUGAGAAGCUCAAUGUAUAAAUAAAGUGCAAGAUGAAAGAGAA
rnacentral:lncRNA from 1 species